rnacentral:lncRNA from 1 species
GCCGGCUCCGGCGGCGGGGCCCUCCAGCCAGCCUACUUAUAUCACAGCGGCCGCCAGCCGACGCCACUCCAACACGCUCCGCCGUUGCGCGCACCUUAUGAUUUUUCUUUCUGCCAUUCAAGUAUUUUGUUGACGAUUAAGAUGAAGCAAAGUUUGAUUAUAUUGAUUGUUCUGUGUGGUUUCAUCGCUGCCAUGGUUCCCCGGGAUAGGCGAGCUGUUAACACAGAAGAUGAGGAGUUGUUCAAAUCGCAAUCAAGCACGACUGCAUCUGAGACCGCUAAUCAGCCCAUGAUCUGCGCGAAGCAGACUCCCUGCGCCUGGUCUAUCUACAAACCUAUAAGCAAAUAUAUUGAAAUGAAUAUUACAAAUACAUAUUGCAUCUGUUCAGCGACCGAAAACUGUAUUAUUACAUAUGACGAUUCAACAAUAAACGCAUACAUACAUUACUGUAGGCCCGCCAAUCACAAAGAGGACAUAGAUCAGAGUUAGCAAGUGACUCACACGCCCCAAACGCUACUAGCAAGCUGAGAAGGCUUGUUCACACCCACCGCAUUGUCAAUCAGCUAAUAACGGCACCGACGCCGCGACGACUCCGCAUCGGAAGACUGUUCAAAUUUAAACGAUUGCACCGUCAUGUAUUGAUGGUCAUGAAACAUGGUAACUUCAAUAGCUUCCAUUCUGUAUGUAUAAAGUAACUGCGUUUAAUUUGCUGUAUGCAGGAUUGUUUAACAUAAAAUACCAAACACAUUUGGAAUAUUCCACCUUAAUAUUUUUUUUAUUAAUAGCUUAGAUGUAAGUGGAAAAUUCUUGCUGACAAUGUGUUUCCUUUGAAAUAAUAUAACAUUUUCACUCGUAAGAUUUUUUGUAAAAUUGUAGUUCGGUUUGUCGCAAAUAUUCUAUUGGAUAAUUUGUUAUUUAAGUAUUGAUUCCGAUUUUAAUUUAUUUUCUGUGUAAUGCCUACAGUUACUUGCGUCUGACCACGAUUGAAGUUUUGGCGCGGUUACACUUAACAUUUACUUAAUUUUAAAUAUAAUUAUAUAAUAUGUAUGUGAAUGUAGAAUGUGCUUUAUUCAUCUAAGUUUUAGUUUCCUACUGUCUACAAUCUGUUUUAAUUGCGUACUCGUUUAGAUGUUUUAAAUUAGCAUACGGUUGGAUCACAUCCGAAAAAGAGGGAGUUGAUAGUCUGUUUGCUUUAUGCUUAUGACUUGCUACGAUAUCAUCAUCUAAAGCAGUCCAAGCUAAGGUCCACAGGUUCGUUCGGACUACUCUAUGUAUCUACCGAUAUUGCAAAGGCAACAAUGCGAUGUCACAAAUAUUUAACCAUUCUGAUACUUUAUUUAUGUUAUAUUGUAGAAAGCAAUCUGACAGUGAAAACAAAAGUACUUAUUAAACCUUGAUACUUAUUACGUGGUUAAUUUAUCUAAGUGAUUGCUUUUUGCGCUGAUCUAGAGUAGCCAGUGAUUAGUAACGUGAACCAUUUACUUUUUAUUUUGAGCAUAUUUUGUGGCUAAAAAUGAUAGUUUUCUACUCUGAUAAUACACAAGCAAUAUAAAUACAUUAAUCAUGACAAUUAUUGUGUAGGUAUGUUUAUCGAUAUGCUUGUCCAAAAGUAACAUUUACAAAUGAUAAAACAUUACUAGAGUGAAGUCACAGUGGAGUCGACACAGAGCAGUACAUGAUAAUUUUGUAUUCUGUACUUUAUGUAUAUCUCUGAAUAAUGAAAUAGCAAAAAUAAAUAAAUUAAUGGCAUAAUAAGAUGAUUUUAAAUAACUGUUUCUCCCCAAAAUGAUUUUAUUUCACCAUUAUGCUGCUUAGUGUUUAUUAGCUAUGACUGGCCUAAGCUCUCUGCUACUGUUCCAGCAAUUAUUGUUUCUCUUCUAUUAAACUACAAGAUGAAUAAGCACGCCAUUUUUAAAGUUCCUAUUUUAAUUUUUUAAUUAUUUAUAAUUGUAAUUAUUAAGUGAUUGUAGUUUUUUUAAACGUAGCUAGUUCAUGACAUAAUAAACAUAUUAUUGUAUUAUUAGCUUAUAUGAAAUAUUUUUUUAAAAUGUAGUAUUUGAGUAAAUAAACAGUUUGCAAA